ensembl:misc_RNA Metazoa_SRP Metazoan signal recognition particle RNA
GCUGGGUGUGGUGGUGCACGCCUGUAGUUCCAGCUACUUGGGAGGCUGAGGCAGAAGAAUCGCUUGAACCCAGGAGGCAGAAGUUACAGUGAGCUGAGAUCGCGCCACUGCACUCCAGCCUGGGUAACAGAGUGAGACUCUGUCUCAA